UUUCACAUUGUCAGAGAAAAC
ensembl:piRNA 21ur-6842 ncRNA